rnacentral:rRNA from 1 species
UACACUCCUACGGGAGGCAGCAGUGGGGAAUAUUGCACAAUGGGCGCAAGCCUGAUGCAGCGACGCCGCGUGGGGGAUGAAGGCCUUCGGGUUGUAAACUCCUUUCGCUAGGGACGAAGCUUUUUUGUGACGGUACCUAGAUAAGAAGCACCGGCUAACUACGUGCCAGCAGCCGCGGUAAUACGUAGGGUGCGAGCGUUGUCCGGAAUUACUGGGCGUAAAGGGCUCGUAGGUGGUUUGUCGCGUCGUCUGUGAAAUUCUGGGGCUUAACUCCGGGCGUGCAGGCGAUACGGGCAUAACUUGAGUGCUGUAGGGGUAACUGGAAUUCCUGGUGUAGCGGUGAAAUGCGCAGAUAUCAGGAGGAACACCGAUGGCGAAGGCAGGUUACUGGGCAGUUACUGACGCUGAGGAGCGAAAGCAUGGGUAGCGAACAGGAUUAGAAACCCCAGUAGUCCCAUG